rnacentral:rRNA from 1 species
AACGCUAGCUACAGGCUUAACACAUGCAAGUCGAGGGGCAGCGCAGUGUAGCAAUACAUGGGCGGCGACCGGCGCACGGGUGCGUAACGCGUAUCCAACCUUCCCGUUACUCUUGGAUAGCCUUCCGAAAGGGAGAUUAAUACAAGAUGGUAUUCAAAUUUCGCAUGUUAUUUGAAUUAAAGAUUUAUCGGUAACGGAUGGGGAUGCGUGACAUUAGAUAGUAGGCGGGGUAACGGCCCACCUAGUCUACGAUGUCUAGGGGUUCUGAGAGGAAGGUCCCCCACACUGGAACUGAGACACGGUCCAGACUCCUACGGGAGGCAGCAGUGAGGAAUAUUGGUCAAUGGUCGGAAGACUGAACCAGCCAAGUAGCGUGAAGGAUGAAGGUUCUAUGGAUUGUAAACUUCUUUUAUACGGGAAUAAAACCUCCCACGUGUGGGAGCCUGUAUGUACCGUAUGAAUAAGCAUCGGCUAACUCCGUGCCAGCAGCCGCGGUAAUACGGAGGAUGCGAGCGUUAUCCGGAUUUAUUGGGUUUAAAGGGAGCGUAGACGGGGGACUAAGUCAGUUGUGAAAGGCUGCGGCUCAACCGCAGCACUGCAGUUGAUACUGGUUUCCUUGAGUGCGGUUGAGGUGUAUGGAAUUCGUGGUGUAGCGGUGAAAUGCUUAGAUAUCACGAAGAACUCCGAUUG